AACAUGGAGCUUUCAUCUGAUUUUAUCUCCAGUCUGCUGCCCUGAUGGAGGGGAGAGUGGAGCUGAAGGAGUGAGUAGAAGAGCUUGAGCACAAGUGCAUCCAAGGAGAGACAGGCCGUGCUGUCUGCUGCCCUGAUGGAGGGGAGAGUGGAGCUGAAGGAGUGAGUAGAAGAGCUUGAGCACAAGUGCAUCCAAGGAGAGACAGGCCGUGCUGUCUGCUGCCCUGAUGGAGGGGAGAGUGGAGCUGAAGGAGUGAGUAGAAGAGCUUGAGCACAAGUGCAUCCAAGGAGAGACAGGCCGUGCUGUCUGCUGCCCUGAUGGAGGGGAGAGUGGAGCUGAAGGAGUGAGUAGAAGAGCUUGAGCACAAGUGCAUCCAAGGAGAGACAGGCGGUGCUGGUUUCUCCAACCAACCAGACAACGUAAACAGGAGAACGUAGAGGCACAGGUAUAGGAUCCAUUAUCCAGAAACCUGUUAUCCAGAAAGCUCUGAAUUAUGGGAAGACCAUCGCUCAUA